UACGAAGGGGGCUAGCGUUGCUCGGAAUCACUGGGCGUAAAGCGCACGUAGGCGGAUUCUUAAGUCAGGGGUGAAAUCCUGGAGCUCAACUCCAGAACUGCCUUUGAUACUGAGGGUCUUGAGUUCGGGAGAGGUGAGUGGAACUGCGAGUGUAGAGGUGAAAUUCGUAGAUAUUCGCAAGAACACCAGUGGCGAAGGCGGCUCACUGGCCCGAUACUGACGCUGAGGUGCGAAAGCGUGGGAGCAACAGG
rnacentral:rRNA from 1 species